AUGAACGCUAGCGACAGGCCUAACACAUGCAAGCGAGGGGCAGCACAAGGAGCAAUCUGAGGUGGCGACCGGCGCACGGGUGAGUAACACGUAUGCAACCUGCCUGUAAGCGGGGAAUAACCCGUUGAAAGACGGACUAAUACCGCAUAAUACUAAAUUACUGCAUGGUAAUUUAUUUAAACAUUUAUGGCUUACAGAUGGGCAUGCGCAUGAUUAGCUAGUUGGAGAGGUAACGGCUCCCCAAGGCAACGAUCAUUAGGGGUUCUGAGAGGAAGGUCCCCCACACUGGUACUGAGACACGGACCAGACUCCUACGGGAGGCAGCAGUGAGGAAUAUUGGUCAAUGGACGAGAGUCUGAACCAGCCAAGUCGCGUGCAGGAAGAAUGUCCUUAAUGGAUUGUAAACUGCUUUUGCAGGGGAAUAAAGUGCAUCACGUGUGAUGUUUUGUAUGUACUCUGCGAAUAAGGAUCGGCUAACUCCGUGCCAGCCGCAGC
rnacentral:rRNA from 1 species